AUUGAACGCUGGCGGCAGGCCUAACACAUGCAAGUCGAGCGGAUGAAGGGAGCUUGCUCCUGGAUUCAGCGGCGGACGGGUGAGUAAUGCCUAGGAAUCUGCCUGGUAGUGGGGGAUAACGUCCGGAAACGGGCGCUAAUACCGCAUACGUCCUGAGGGAGAAAGUGGGGGAUCUUCGGACCUCACGCUAUCAGAUGAGCCUAGGUCGGAUUAGCUAGUUGGUGGGGUAAAGGACUACCAAGGCGACGAUCCGUAACUGGUCUGAGAGGAUGAUCAGUCACACUGGAACUGAGACACGGUCCAGACUCCUACGGGAGGCAGCAGUGGGGAAUAUUGGACAAUGGGCGAAAGCCUGAUCCAGCCAUGCCGCGUGUGUGAAGAAGGUCUUCGGAUUGUAAAGCACUUUAAGUUGGGAGGAAGGGCAGUAAGUUAAUACCUUGCUGUUUUGACGUUACCAACAGAAUAAGCACCGGCUAACUUCGUG
rnacentral:rRNA from 1 species